rfam:Picea glauca, whole genome shotgun sequence.
ACAUGCCUACAACAUAGUGUUAAGGCUCUCGAUCCCAUUAGAACUUUGUAGUUAAGUUCUCUUGGGAUAGAGUAGUACUAGGAUGGGUGACCUCCUAGGAAGUCUUAAUGUUUUACAUGCC